rnacentral:rRNA from 1 species
AUUGAACGCUGGCGGCAGGCCUAACACAUGCAAGUCGAGCGGAUGAAGGGAGCUUGCUCCUGGAUUCAGCGGCGGACGGGUGAGUAAUGCCUAGGAAUCUGCCUGGUAGUGGGGGAUAACGUCCGGAAACGGGCGCUAAUACCGCAUACGUCCUUAGGGAGAAAGUGGGGGAUCUUCGGACCUCACGCUAUCAGAUGAGCCUAGGUCGAAUUAGCUAGUUGGUGGGGUAAAGGCCUACCAAGGCGACGAUCCGUAACUGGUCUGAGAGGAUGAUCAGUCACACUGGAACUGAGACACGGUCCAGACUCCUACGGGAGGCAGCAGUGGGGAAUAUUGGACAAUGGGCGCAAGCCUGAUCCAGCCAUGCCGCGUGUGUGAAGAAGGUCUUCGGAUUGUAAAGCACUUUAAGUUGGGAGGAAGAGCAGUAAGUUAAUACCUUGCUGUUUUGACGUUACCAACAGAAUAAGCACCGGCUAACUUCGUG